UACGGAGGGUGCGAGCGUUGUUCGGACUCACUGGGCGUAAAGCGCGUGUAGGCGGCCCACUAAGUCUGAUGUGAAAGCCCGGGGCUCACCCCCGGAAGUGCAUUGGAAACUGGUGGACUCGAGUCCCGGAGAGGAGAGUGGAAUUCCUGGUGUAGCGGUGAAAUGCGCAGAUAUCAGGAGGAACACCAAUGGCGAAGGCAGCACUCUGGGACGGUACUGACGCUGAGACGCGAAAGCGUGGGGAGCAAACAGG
rnacentral:rRNA from 1 species